AUCUUUUGUAAAAACCGAUCCAUUAAAUAUUUUGUAAAAACCGAUUUAUAAGGAAUAUUUUAGAAGUUUCUUUAUAAUUUUUUUGGUCAAUCAUUAAUUAGAAAUUUAUAAAAUAAUGACUGUCUAAAUGUUUUUAUAAAAUUAAUCUAAAACAAAAGAUGACUUGUGAAACAUGGAAAAUGUAGUAUUUGGUUAUUUACUAAGCCCAGUAACCAACUUACAGAAAAUAGAUAGAUAACUAGAAAAAUAAUUUUACUAUCAUGUGUAUAUUUAUUAUAAUAAAUGUGAGUUAUCUCUCUUUUCCUUGCGCCACGUCAUCAUAUAACAUGGGGCUUAGAAGAUGUUCUAAGCAACUUUUAUUUUUCUCAUAAACGCAUCCUACCGCUGAU
rnacentral:lncRNA from 1 species